CCAACAACCAGUACAUGGCCAGCAGCUACCUGACAAUGAGUGCCACCGACUGGAAGAGCCAUGAGACCUACACCUGCAAGGUCACACAUGAGACUGGUACCAUUGAGAAGGUCCUGAAUAGAUCUGAUUGCUCCUAA